CUACUACUCCCUCCGUCCGAAAAUACUUGUCAUUGAAAUGGAUGUAUAUAGAUGUAUUUUAGUUCUAGACACAUCCAUUUUGAUGACAAGUAACUCCGGACGGAGGGAGUAUCAU
rnacentral:pre_miRNA from 1 species